AGUCCGGAUUGGAGUCUGCAACUCGACUCCAUGAAGUCGGAAUCGCUAGUAAUCGUGAAUCAGAAUGUCACGGUGAAUACGUUCCCGGGCCUUGUACACACCGCCCGUCACACCAUGGGAGUGGGCUGCAAAAGAAGUGGGUAGUUUAACCUUUCGGGGAGGACGCUCACCACUUUGUGGUUCAUGACUGGGGUGAAGUCGUAACAAGGUAGCCCUAGGGGAACCUGGGGCUGGAUCACCUCCUUAUACGAAGAUACC
rnacentral:rRNA from 2 species